rnacentral:tRNA from 2 species
GGAAAGGUGACAGAGUUGGUCGAUUGUACCGGUUUUGAAAACCGGCGUGGUUGCAAGGCCACCGAGGGUUCGAAUCCCUCCCUUUCCG